UACGUAGGGACCAAGCGUUGUUCGGAUUUACUGGGCGUAAAGGGCGCGUAGGCGGCGCGGUAAGUCACUUGUGAAAUCUCUGAGCUUAACUCAGAACGGCCAAGUGAUACUGCAGUGCUAGAGUGUGGAAGGGGCAAUCGGAAUUCUUGGUGUAGCGGUGAAAUGCGCAGAUAUCAGGAGGAACACCGGUGGCGAAGGCGGGUCUCUGGGCAGUAACUGACGCUGAGGAGCGAAAGCGUGGGGAGCGAACAGG
rnacentral:rRNA from 1 species